GGGGCCGUAAUGGGUUCGACGGGGUUCUGAGAGAGUAAGACUCGCAGGUAGAAGACCGCCUCAAGGCUUAAACAAAAAUGAAAUGACAACGAUACGACUGUUGUAAUGAUCCAUCCCGCUUUUUCCGCUGCUCUUGCAGCAAAGGGAAUUGCCGCCUGAUGACGGCUGGAUUCCAAAACGAUGUACCCACUGACCGGGUAAACAUCUGAGGUCGAAGAUUCGGUCAGAGUAUUGCAGUUUUCCUUGUCACUGUGAAAAGAAACAAGGUGGUGGAGGUGCAUCUAACCGGUGCGCCCUGGGCGCGGAGUGACAACUGCUGAUCCGCCCGUCUCAGUUUGAGGCGAAUUGAUAAAGUGUUGUCUAUUGCGUAAGACUGUUUUAUUCAUGUAGGGAUUUCGGACAGGGGUUCGAUUCCCCUCGGCUCCACCA
rnacentral:tmRNA from 1 species